rnacentral:rRNA from 1 species
UACAGAGGGGGCAAGCGUUAUUCGGAAUUAUUGGGCGUAAAGGGCGCGUAGGCGGCUGCGCAAGUCUCGGGUGAAAUCCCUCGGCUCAACCGAGGAACUGCCCUGGAAACUGCGCGGCUCGAGGCCGGGAGAGGAUGGUGGAAUUCCCAGUGUAGCGGUGAAAUGCGUAGAUAUUGGGAGGAACACCGGUGGCGAAGGCGGCCAUCUGGACCGGUCCUGACGCUGAGGCGCGAAAGCGUGGGGAGCAAACAGGAUUAGAAACCCGAGUAGUC